rnacentral:misc_RNA from 1 species
GAUGAAGAACGUAGCGAAAUGCGAUAAGUAAUGUGAAUUGCAGAAUCCAGUGAAUCAUCGAAUCUUUGAACGCACAUUGCGCCCGCCAGCAUUCUGGCGGGCAUGCCUGUUCGAGCGUCAUUUCAACCCUCGACCUCCCUUUGGGGAAGUCGGCGUUGGGGACCGGCAGCACACCGCCGGCCCUGAAAUGGAGUGGCGGCCCGUCCGCGGCGACCUCUGCGUAGUAAUCCAACUCGCACCGGAACCCCGACGCGGCCACGCCGUAAAACACCCAACUUCUGAACGUUGACCUCGAAUCAGGUAGGACUACCCGCUGAACUUAAGCAUAUCAAUAAGCGGGGA